UGAGUAGGCGGUUAUAUGUGUCAGAUGUAAAAGGCUAUGGCUUAACCAUAGUUGGCAUUUGAAACUGUAUGACUUGAGUGCAGGAGAGGUAAGUGGAAUUCCUAGUGUAGCGGUGAAAUGCGUAGAUAUUAGGAGGAACACCAGUGGCGAAGGCGACUUACUGGACUGUAACUGACGCUGAGUCACGAAAGCGUGGGUAGCAAACAGGAUUAGAUACCCUGGUAGUCCACGCUGUAAACGAUGAGUGCUAGGUGUUGGGUAGCGAUAUUCAGUGCCGAAGUUAACACAAUAAGCACUCCGCCUGGGGAGUACGGUCGCAAGACUGAA
rnacentral:rRNA from 1 species